UACAGAGGGUGCAAGCGUUAAUCGGAAUUACUGGGCGUAAAGCGUGCGCAGACGGUUGCGUAAGUCAGAUGUGAAAGCCCCGGGCUCAACCUGGGAAUUGCAUUUGAGACUGCGUAGCUAGGGUGCGGAAGAGGGAAGCGGAAUUUCCGGUGUAGCGGUGAAAUGCGUAGAUAUCUGGAGGAACAUCAGUGGCGAAGGCGGCUUCCUGGUCCAACACUGACACUGAG
rnacentral:rRNA from 1 species